rnacentral:piRNA from 1 species
UGUAAGACAAAGGGUGCUUUGCUGGC